UUUAAAACAAACGAGUGAGUUUAUAUGUAGAUCCAGUAUCGCUGCAGUUUGCCUUCACAGUUCGUUAGUUUAAAGUGGUGAAAAGGAAGUGAAACUCACAGAUGACAAAGUCCUUCACUGGAUACAGAUGUUACAUUUUUUCAAUAAAAAGUUAUUUACUGCCACAUUUUGAAGCAGAUAUUAAAAAUUAAUUCAAAGGUUAGUUAUUUAAUAUUUUAGCUACAUUCAAAAAUUAGUCAGGUCGCAAUAUGUUGUCUAAUUAUUAGUGAUUGAUGAUGAGUGCCACAGAAGAAGAUUGAUGACUUUAAAUGACAUCAAGUUUGAUGAUGUAGUUUUCUGUGUUAAAGCCUCAUUUCCUCCCAUGUCUGGGCUCCUCUCCUCUGUCUGAUCUCAGUAUCAUGCACACAGUUCAUCCACAGUAGUGUUGACCUCUGUCAUGUCUCAUAAGUGUCUCAUGUUGAGCUGUCUGUCCUCCAGUCAAGUUCAUCUGCUCCUUGUGUGUCUCUGCUCUCCCCUCCAGCUGGCCCCAUGCUCAGGCCCUCAGUCUCUCUGCUUCCCCCCUCCUCUGAGCGGCUCUCUGGGGCCUCGGCCACGCUGGUCUGCCUGCUGAGCGGCUACUCUCCUCAGGGAGCCGUGGUGAGCUGGGAGGUGGACGCUACAGAGGUGACAGAGGGGGUCCUGAGCAGCUCCGAGGAGGAGAAGAGCGGACGCUACAGCAGCAGCAGCACCCUGAGCCUGAGCCAGGAGCGCUGGAUGGAAGGAGAGCUGUUCUCCUGCAGGGUCCUCCAUCAUGGCCACAGCCAGACCCGCUCCCUCCGCAGGAGCCAGUGUGAGGGCUAGAGGGGCUGGCUGAAGCCCAGGACAGCAGCUCUGUGUGUGGGGAGCAGGAGGAACACACCUGCUGCUCUCAUCAAUAGGAGUUUGAAUGUUUGUAGAGGAAACUAAAGCUUUGUGUGGCAGAG